CACGUAGGCACCAAGCGUUGUCCGGAUUUAUUGGGCGUAAAGAGCUCGUAGGCGGUUCGGUAAGUCGGGUGUGAAAACUCUGGGCUCAACCCAGAGCCGCCACCCGAUACUGCUGUGACUUGAGUUCGGUAGGGGAGCGGGGGAAUUCCUGGUGUAGCGGUGAAAUGCGCAGAUAUCAGGAGGAACACCAGUGGCGAAGGCGCCGCUCUGGGCCGAGACUGACGCUGAGGAGCGAAAGCGUGGGUAGCAAACAGG
rnacentral:rRNA from 1 species